AGAAUGAUUUAUUCCCCUCAGCAUCAGGCUUUGCUGGACUGUGAGCACCCUUCGCCUGACUCCCGCUGCCCUCCUCCUUCCUGCACCAAGUGCCCCAGUGAGGGGCCGCAGCCCCCCGGGAGCCGCCAGGGCCCGGCCGCGGCCCCGCCCCGCCCCCUCCCUCAGCCAAUGGCAAGCGUCGGCAGCGCGGCGGGCGGCUGCCGAUUGGCCGAGCGGCGGGCGGUUGCUAGGCAGAAGCGGCGUUGGGGCAGCAUGGCGGGGCCGCUGCUGGGCGCGGGGCCGGGCGCGCUGCUGCUGGCGGCGCUCUGGGCGCUGGCGCUGCUGCUCUGCCUGGCGCUCGCCCGCGCUCCCGGUGCCGCCAGGCUGGCCGCGCUGCCCGUGCCGCUGGGCGCCGCGCUGCUGAGCGCCGCGCUGCUGCUGUACCCACGGGAGGAGGAGGAGGAGGAGGAGGAGGAAGGCGCGGGGCCGCCCCCCGGCACCGAGAUCGUGGACACCUUCUUCAUCAGCCGCCUCAUCCUCCUGGCUGUGAUGGCCCUGGUCUUCCUUGGGUGCCUGUUCCUUCUGCUGCUUCACCACCUCGCAGAGCCGGUGUACGCCAAGCCGCUGCGCCGCAGCUGGAGGUGAGGCCACCAGCGCAGAUGCCAUGUCAGAUGAUGGCAGAUAAGGCCCGGCACUGGAGAGCAGAAAUGAUGCGAGAUACCUUUCCAGGCCUAAACGGGGAAACGCGGAAGGUAAAGAGAACUGAACUCAGAGAUCCAGCCCGUUUCUGCCUGAACAAUGGAUUUGUGAGGCCUGGGGUGGUUUUGGUCAAUACUUUUUAACUCCUUGUUGGCCUUUCAAUACUUUUCAAGAGAACUUAGGAUUUAGGGUUCUUUGCUUUGUUUUAUAUUGGUAGCGUGGAAGAGGAAAUCCAAUUUUCAUUGCAAUGAAAUAGGAGACUGGUGGGGAGUUAGUGAGUCAAUAUCCACAAGUUGUUUUGUCACUGUUCUUUUUUAAUGUUAAGACUAAUUAAACUUUCUGAAGAACCCCUG